rnacentral:rRNA from 1 species
GACAACGCUGGCGGCGUGCCUAACACAUGCAAGUCGAGCGGAGAUGUACUGAAGAUUUAUCGGAUGUACAUCUUAGCGGCGGACGGGUGAGUAACGCGUGGGCAACCUGCCUUCCACUGGGGGAUAACACAGGGAAACCUGUGCUAAUACCGCAUGACAUCACAUAGGGCAUCCUGUGUGAUCAAAGGAGUGAUCCGGUGGAAGAUGGGCCCGCGUCCGAUUAGCUAGUUGGUGAGGUAACGGCUCACCAAGGCGACGAUCGGUAGCCGGACUGAGAGGUUGGCCGGCCACAUUGGGACUGAGACACGGCCCAGACUCCUACGGGAGGCAGCAGUGGGGAAUAUUGCGCAAUGGGGGGAACCCUGACGCAGCGACGCCGCGUGAAGGAAGAAGGCCUUCGGGUUGUAAACUUCUUUGAUGAGGGACGAAGGAAGUGACGGUACCUCAAAAACAAGCCACGGCUAACUACGUG